AMRGCAUUUGCSAAGARUGUUUUCAUUAAUCAAGAACGAAAGUCAGAGGUUCSAAGGCGAUUAGAUACCGCUCUAGUUCUGACCGUAAACGAUGCCAACUGUCGAUCCGCUUGUGGAUUUUAUUCAUGAGCGGGGAGAUUUCCGGAAACGAAAGUUUUUCGGUUUCGGGGGAAGUAUGGKUGCAAAGCUGAAACUUAAAGGAAUUGACGGAAGGGCACCACCAGGAGUGGAGCUUGCGGCUUAAUUUGACUCAACACGGGAAAUCUCACCCGGCCAGUACAUCGUAAGGAUUGACAGACUGACAGCUCUUUCAUGAUUCGGUGAAUGGUGGUGCAUGGCCGUUCUUAGUUCGUGGAUUGAUUUGUCUGGUUUAUUCCGAUAACGAACGAGACUUUAACUAUUAAAUAGUGCACUUGUUUUUUUGCGAGUGAUCACUUCUUAAAGGAAUUUGUGGUUUUUAGCCUCAAGAAAUUGAGCAAUAACAGGUCUGUGAUGCCCUUAGAUGUUCGGGGCCGCACGCGUGCUACAAUGAUGGUAACACCGUGAUUGUCCUUUUCCGACAGGAAUUGGCAAACAGUUGAGAUAUUAUUAUGGCUGGAAUUGAGUGUUGAAAUUUUCUCUCAUGAACGAGGAAUUCCAAGUAAAUGUGAGUCAUUAACUUGCAUUGAUUACGUCCCUGCCCUUUGUACACACCGCCCGUCGCUGCCCGGGACUGAGUUACUUCGAGAAACUAGGGAUUGUUGGAGUUUGGUGUUUCGGCAUCAUCUUCGA
rnacentral:rRNA from 1 species